rnacentral:rRNA from 1 species
CUGCUCAGACGAACGCUGGCGGCGUGCUUAACACAUGCAAGUCGAACGGUGAAGCCCUUCGGGGUGGAUCAGUGGCGAACGGGUGAGUAACACGUGGGCAAUCUGCCCUGCACUCUGGGACAAGCCCUGGAAACGGGGUCUAAUACCGGAUAUGACCUUCCUCCGCAUGGGGGUGGGUGUAAAGCUCCGGCGGUGCAGGAUGAGCCCGCGGCCUAUCAGCUUGUUGGUGGGGUAAUGGCCUACCAAGGCGACGACGGGUAGCCGGCCUGAGAGGGCGACCGGCCACACUGGGACUGAGACACGGCCCAGACUCCUACGGGAGGCAGCAGUGGGGAAUAUUGCACAAUGGGCGAAAGCCUGAUGCAGCGACGCCGCGUGAGGGAUGACGGCCUUCGGGUUGUAAACCUCUUUCAGCAGGGAAGAAGCGCAAGUGACGGUACCUGCAGAAGAAGCACCGGCUAACUACGUGCCAGCAGCCGCGGUAAUACGUAGGGUGCGAGCGUUGUCCGGAAUUAUUGGGCGUAAAGAGCUCGUAGGCGGCCUGUCGCGUCGGAUGUGAAAGCCCGGGGCUUAACCCCGGGUCUGCAUUCGAUACGGGCAGGCUAGAGUGUGGUAGGGGAGAUCGGAAUUCCUGGUGUAGCGGUGAAAUGCGCAGAUAUCAGGAGGAACACCGGUGGCGAAGGCGGAUCUCUGGGCCAUUACUGACGCUGAGGAGCGAAAGCGUGGGGAGCGAACAGGAUUAGAUACCCUGGUAGUCCACGCCGUAAACGUUGGGAACUAGGUGUUGGCGACAUUCCACGUCGUCGGUGCCGCAGCUAACGCAUUAAGUCCCCGCCUAGGA